GACGAACGCUGGCGGCGUGCUUAACACAUGCAAGUCGAACGAUGAAGCCAGCUUGCUGGUGGAUUAGUGGCGAACGGGUGAGUAACACGUGGGCAACCUGCCCCUAGCUUCGGGAUAAGCCCGGGAAACCGGGUCUAAUACUGAAUAUGAGACUGGGCUGCAUGGUCUGGUUUGGAAAGAUUUUUUGGCUAGGGAUGGGCCCGCGGCCUAUCAGCUUGUUGGUGGGGUGANGGCCUACCAAGGCGACGACGGGUAGCCGGCCUGAGAGGGCGACCGGCCACACUGGGACUGAGACACGGCCCAGACUCCUACGGGAGGCAGCAGUGGGGAAUAUUGCACAAUGGGCGCAAGCCUGAUGCAGCGACGCCGCGUGAGGGAUGACGGCCUGG
rnacentral:rRNA from 1 species